GUAGGUGGCAAGCGUUGUCCGGAAUUAUUGGGCGUAAAGCGCGCGCAGGCGGUUCUUUAAGUCUGAUGUGAAAGCCAACGGCUCAACCGUAGAGGGUCAUUGGAAACUGGAGAACUUGAGUACAGAAGAGGAAAGCGGAAUUCCACGUGUAGCGGUGAAAUGCGUAGAGAUGUGGAGGAACACCAGUGGCGAAGGCGGCUUUCUGGUCUGUAACUGACGCUGAGGCGCGAAAGCGUGGGGAGCAAACAGGGAUUAGAUACCCUGGUAGUCCACGCCGUAAACGAUGAGUGCUAAGUGUUAGGGGGUUUCCGCCCCCUUAGUGCUGCAGCUAACGCAUUAAGCACUCCGCCUGGGGAGUACGGCCGCAAGGCUG
rnacentral:rRNA from 1 species